rnacentral:lncRNA from 1 species
ACAUACACCAAUUGAGAGAGAGCAACAAGUAGAGAGUGGAAAGUUAGUGUGAGAGUGUUUUGAAUUUGUGUUUGUAUUUUUUUUUAAAUGUAGUAGUUACGUAAAGCUAAUAAAAUUUGUUAUUAUUUUGUUUUGUGUUAAAAUUAGUCAUUUAUAUUCAUUAAUUUGGUGGUGUAUGGUUGAGGUGACGAUACGACGAGAAGUUGAUCCACAUUCUAUUCAUACAUCAACAUCCACGAUAUCUAUUUGUAGUUUCUCGUUGGUAAUGUUUUUUUAACCAUGUGUAUUAUUAUUAUUAUUUUUACUAUGAAUUAAUUUUCUAUUAUGAGAAAUUUGAUGGACUAAGUUAAAUUUAAAUUAUUAUUUGUUAAAUAUUAUCGAUUUACUUUUUUUCUCCUAUUUUAUGUGUUUUGCUAUUCGUAAUGCUAUAUAUUGACUGGCCAUCAAUUUGUUGAUUUGUUGUCUUUAGUGAGUACUCAAAAGGGAAAACCUGAAGAUAGAAUGCUGGCAUCCCCUCACAGUAAUUUAUUAAAACGACGGUGAAUAUAAAAUAUUGUGCGAUCGUAAAAAGGAUAAUUGGUCUUAAGGCUAUUUAAUUACUUAUAUUGGCUGCGACAGUAGAAAUACUAAUAGUUGGAUAGUACGUGGCUAGUUCGGACAUGGAGAGUCAUCACCGUAGAGAUUAUUCGGUCAUAAAAUCAAGAGAUUAAAAUUUUUUAGUGACCAGUGUAUAUGCAUUUAAUAUUUAACUUAGAUUCUGAAAUUUUCCCAGAUCUUUUUAUUAUUGGAUUUAAUCAUCAUUUGAUUUGUGUUUUUUCAAUUCACUUGUUAUAUCUUCAUUAAUCGACUGUUAGAAAUUAAAACAAUCAAAAUCAUUUGUUCGUGUUCGCCUUGAGAUUAAACUGGAGUAAAUUGAUAGUAAUUGCCAGUCCUCGUGGGAACGAUAUUUCUUAUCACUUUAUUUCUUGAUCAACCUGUAUACUUUCAGUAUAUAUUUCGCCCAUCACGUGAUAAUGUAAUGUGCUUACAAAUGAGUUUGCUUACAAAUGUAGUAUGUGCUUGACCAGAAAUAUGAUUGCUUAGAAACUAG